rnacentral:rRNA from 1 species
UACGUAGGGCGCAAGCGUUGUCCGGAAUUAUUGGGCGUAAAGAGCUCGUAGGCGGUCUGUUGCGUCCGCUGUGAAAACUCGGGGCUUAACCCCGAGCCUGCAGUGGAUACGGGCAGACUAGAGGUAGGUAGGGGAGAAUGGAAUUCCCGGUGUAGCGGUGAAAUGCGCAGAUAUCGGGAGGAACACCGGUGGCGAAGGCGGCAUCCUGGACCAACACUGACGCUGAGGAGCGAAAGCGUGGGGAGCGAACAGG